rnacentral:pre_miRNA from 9 species
AUAUGUGUGCUUAGUUAACUCAAAUUUGUAUGGAGUCGGAACGUUUGCCUACGUUUGCCGCUAGGGGCGCUGUUCCUACUCCAUACAAAAUUGAGUUAACUUUUACGCUAUCGA